rnacentral:lncRNA from 1 species
AGAGCUUGAAGCUUUUUCCAGGCAACUGAGUCAACUGUUCAGUCCUGCAACAUCUGUCCUUCUCCGUGCCCUGCCUUUCCAGUCUUUGCAGCACUGAUGGCUACCUGCUGUUUAUUACUUCAGUGAUGGCUUCUGUGUCUGCACGUAGGGGUCUUCCGAGUCUCUGCUGCUUUUGGCCAUGGGGCCAUGGGGAGGAGAGUUAGAAGUGACUGUGCCUGCCGUUUUUUUCAAGGCUGCUCUGCAAAUUUCUUUGAAUCUCAGUGAAACUGAUAAGGACUAGACAUUUACUGUGCUGAGACUGUGCCAGACUGAUUUCUGAGAAAUCUCCGUCAGUUGUAUGACACUCUGAAGACCAUGAGUUUCAACUUGCAUUAAAAAUGCCAGAAAGGAUCAAGAUAGAACAUAGUCCUGAAAUGUUCAGGUGGCUAGAUGGAAGAAUUAGAAAUCUCACCAAAACGCCCGUCCAGCGCUCGGCCAAUUUUGCAGACCAGCUCUUGCCAGGGCUUACCCAAACCCCUCUGAAAUUCCAUCCGAAGUCUUUGAAGCCCUUCUGGAAAGGAAAGGAAGGCAGACGCAAGCAGACCAAUGAAAAUGCAGAAGUCGUCAUCACUGGAAGAGAAAGAAAAGCCCUGCCUGGAGCCCUGUUCGCAAAGAGGAAGCAGCUGAAGGGAACGCCACUCACACAAGCAGAAUAACGGAGCCGUGUGCCUUUUAUGCUUCCUGCCAGAGCCUCAGCUGCAAAUACAGCCACAUAACCUGCUGCUUCCUGUGUGUUUCCAAAGAUUUUAGGCAAUCAUAACAUGAGAGUGGAGAAGAGCUACUUGUCCCUUCCUGUUAUUACUGUUUGUAUUCUGAUACAAAAUAAAAUUAUUAAUCACAGUUGCA